AUGCGGCGCUACCGUGCGUGGUGGCUCUGUGUCUGGCCUGAGGCUUCUGCUCGCUCCUUUACGCCUUCAGCCAGCUCCCCGUGUCCCCGGAGGAAGGAGCGGGCAGUGGUGGCUGGAAGCCGCAGGCCGCAGUGGCUUCGUGGCUGGCGGGAGGCGGAUGCGGUGCGGUGAGAGGCGCGAACAGCGCUUGUCCCGCUGCGCAUCCCCGCAGGUGGGACAGGUGUAGUCUGAAAAUACAGCCCGUUGAGAAAAUGUAUCUAAGUGAAAGACUGGAAGAAACUAUGACCAUGUUGAAGUCAGCUAUUAUUUUCAGGAUCAAACCUCUUCAAUUCCAGAUUUUUGCUGAAGAUCAACUACAUCAUAGCUUUAAAGGAAGGCUUGACAGGGGUCAUUCCUACAAAUAUUUAAUUAUACAGUAUACUCCAUAACCUUUCCAAGUGAGAAUGCAGCAGAGUGGAAAAACUCUUUAAACCAUGUAGUUUGCAGAGAUUGUCCUUGCCGUUAUUCCUGAAAGAAGUUGACUCUCACACUGAUAGCCUUUUUAAAAGACCAGCUGAUAAUAUUUGGUCUUUACUAAAGAAAUUUAAUUCCACACAAAUUCUGAAAUGGCCCCAGAACACAAGGAAUGUCAAAUAGGAUGGUAUAGUCGCUUUGCUAGGCAUCCAUAGUGUGGAAAAGCUGGAGUAAACUCUGGAGUUAUGUUGACAAACAUGACUUGAAUGAGAAGGAAGUAUUUCAAGAAUAAUAUGACAACUGUAUGACUACAAUGAGGAGAUAUACUUAUGACAUGGCUUAAAAUAUACAAGUUAAACAUUACAUGGGCGAUCAAGAUCUGUUGGAUAUCCUGUUUUUUCAUAAUCCAGAAAGCCUUUUUGUCUUUCUGUGUCAAUGGAAGUGUCGUCCAGAUCAUUGUCUAUAUGGAAGCAGUUGCCAAGAAGCAGAAGAAGGAAUCUUUAUUUUUCACGGGAACAGAGGUGUUUACCAUGAUGAUAAGCAACCAGCAUUUAGAGCUGUUUUUGAAGCACUCAGAAAUUGUUCUUUUAAGAUGACAAUAUUCAUUCAUUAAUAAAACCUUUAGAAUUGGAACUACAAAAAAUAGUGCAUACAUACCGUGGAAAAAUUUACUAAAUAUUUAUCAAACAAUUAGCAAAAACAUAAGAGAUCGCUAUGUCAGAUCACCAAAGGAAAGGUGA
rnacentral:lncRNA from 1 species